AUUGAACGCUGGCGGCAGGCCUAACACAUGCAAGUCGAACGAGUGGCGGACGGGUGAGUAAUGUCUGGGAAACUGCCUGAUGGAGGGGGAUAACUACUGGAAACGGUAGCUAAUACCGCAUACCAUCGGAUGUGCCCAGAUGGGAUUAGCUAGUAGGUGGGGUAAAGGCUCACCUAGGCGACGAUCCCUCGCUGGUCUGAGAGGAUGACCAGCCACCUGGGAACUGAGAUACGGUCCAGCAUCCUCAGGUGGGGAGCAGUGGGGAAUAUUGAACAAUUGGCGAAAGCCGGAUGCAGCCAUGCCGCGUGUAUGAAGAAGGCCUUCGGGUUGUAAAGUACGUUCAGCGGGGAGGCGUUACCCGCAGAAGAAGCACCGGCUAACUCCGUGCCAGCAGCCGCGGUAAUAC
rnacentral:rRNA from 1 species